rnacentral:rRNA from 1 species
UACGUAGGGGGCUAGCGUUGUCCGGAAUCAUUGGGCGUAAAGCGCGUGUAGGCGGUUCGGUAAGUCCGCUGUGAAAGUCGAGGGCUCAACCCUCGAAAGCCGGUGGAUACUGUCGGGCUAGAGUGCGGAAGAGGCGAGUGGAAUUCCUGGGGUAGCGGUGAAAUGCGUAGAUAUCGGAAGGAACACCUGUGGCGAAAGCGGCUCACUGGACCAUAACUGACGCUGAGGCGCGAAAGCUAGGGGAGCAAACAGG